AGAGCUGGCGGCGAAUCGAACCGCCAAAUGUCAUCAGGAAGUUCCUGACAGAAACUCAUCAAGCCCAGACAUUUCCAAACGUGGUACGAUUGAAUAGGGCAUCGAGAUGCCAUUACCCCGCCUGCCAAAACAAUUUGCAUUUUCAGGUAUUAAGUUUAAUACUGUAGCUGCAGACGGUUGCAUCACAUGGUUUUGUUUACAAUAUGAUGGCAGACUGAUUGCUUGAGCCUAAAUUGGGAAGUUGGUUGGACCAGGCAGGGUGGUAGAAGCUGUUUAAGAAGAAUAAACGUUUGCAGUGACAUCAGGGUCAACAGCUGAGGUGGAUGUGCAAGUGCAAAAAGUUUUUCUCAUUGGAAACUGGAUUGUUUUCUGGGAUCGAACCCAUGACCUUUGCAUUGGGAAUGCCGUUGUCCACCAUUUAUUGUUUACUGGAUAUGUGGAACUACAUCUGCUCCAGAGGUCACUAAGGUCAGCAGUGACACCAGAUUUAACUGUUAUUUACUCUGAGUCCCCGACAAGACGCAUACAGCCCGCGCCCACUCAACUGAUGCACCUCGGCGGCCCGGGCUGAGCACCUUGCUCUGAAUAGGAAAUGAGGGCUUAGACAGAUACAUGCACCUUUGGAACCUGUUGGAUGUUCUGACACAUGUCUUGCCCAUCUCAUUUUGAACGGGUUAAAAGACCGUGUCAAGCACAAUUAUGCUGUGCCAGCAUCUUCCACAAGACCUUGCAGAAGACAUUGUUUAUUAUGUCCUGAUUUACUCUAUGAUGUUAUUAGAAGACAGGUAUAGGAAUGAGGAUUGGAAAGAAUUUUUCACGGUUCUAGUUCGUAUAUGACAAAAAUUGUGGUAACUAUUAAUGAUUAUUUAAGGAAGCAUCAAAUAAUUGUAAUAAUAAUAAUAAUAAUAAUAAAAUUACUCUACAAAAACAA